UACGGGGGGAGCAAGCGUUGUUCGGAUUUACUGGGCGUAAAGGGCGCGUAGGCGGCCACCGCAAGUCGGUUGUGAAAUCUCCGGGCUUAACCCGGAAAGGUCAAUCGAUACUGCGGGGCUAGAGUGCAGAAGGGGCAACUGGAAUUCUCGGUGUAGCGGUGAAAUGCGUAGAUAUCGAGAGGAACACCUGCGGCGAAGGCGGGUUGCUGGGCUGACACUGACGCUGAAGCGCGAAGGCCAGGGGAGCAAACGGG
rnacentral:rRNA from 1 species